UACGAAGGGUGCAAGCGUUGCUCGGAAUUAUUGGGCGUAAAGGGUUGGUAGGUGGUCUUGUUUGUCUAAGGUGAAAUCCCAUGGCUUAACUGUGGAAGUGCCUUAGAAACGGCAAGACUAGAGUCCUAGAGGGGUUUGUGGAAUUCCCGGUGUAGCGGUGAAAUGCGUAGAGAUCGGGAGGAACACCAGCGGCGAAGGCGGCUCUCUGGAACGGUACUGACGCUGAGACGCGAAAGCGUGGGGAGCGAACAGG
rnacentral:rRNA from 1 species